rnacentral:rRNA from 1 species
UCAAAUUUGAAAUCUGGCUCUUUCAGGGUCCGAGUUGUAAUUUGCAGAGGGCGCUUUGGCGUUGGCAGCGGUCCAAGUUCCUUGGAACAGGACGUCACAGAGGGUGAGAAUCCCGUACGUGGUCGCUGGCCUUCGCCGUGUAAAGCCCCUUCGACGAGUCGAGUUGUUUGGGAAUGCAGCUCUAAAUGGGAGGUAAAUUUCUUCUAAAGCUAAAUACUGGCCAGAGACCGAUAGCGCACAAGUAGAGUGAUCGAAAGAUGAAAAGCACUUUGGAAAGAGAGUCAAAUAGCACGUGAAAUUGUUGAAAGGGAAGCGCUUGCAGCCAGACUUGCCUGUAGUUGCUCAUCCGGGCUUCUGCCCGGUGCACUCUUCUAUAGGCAGGCCAGCAUCAGUUUGGGCGGUUGGAUAAAGGUCUCUGUCAUGUACCUCUCUUCGGGGAGGCCUUAUAGGGGAGACGACAUGCAACCAGCCUGGACUGAGGUCCGCGCAUUUUGCUAGGAUGCUGGCGUAAUGGCUGUAAGCGGCCCGUCUUGAAACACGGACCAAGGAGUCUAACAUCUAUGCGAGUGUUUGGGUGUCAAGCCCGAACGCGUAAUGAAAGUGAACGGAGGUGGGAACCCUUUAGGGCGCACCAUCGACCGAUCCUGAUGUCUUCGGAAGGAUUUGAGUAAGAGCAUGGCUGUUGGGACCCGAAAGAUGGUGAACUAUGCUUGAAUAGGGUGAAGCCAGAGGAAACUCUGGUGGAAGGCUCGCAGCGGUUCUGACGUGCAAAUCGAUCGUCAAAUUUGGGCAUAGGGGCGAAAGACUAAUCGAACUAUCUAGUAGCUGGUUCCUGCCGAAAGUUUCCCUUCAGGAUAGCAGUAACGUAUUCAGUUUUAUGAGGUAAAGCGAAUGAUUAGAGGCCUGGGGGUUGAAACAACCUUCACCUAUUCUCAAACUUUAAAUAUGUAAGAAGUCCUUGUUACUUGAUUGAACGUGGACACUUGAAUGUACCGUUACUAGUGGGCCAUUUUUGGUAAGCAGAACUGGCGAUGCGGGAUGAACCGAACGCGGGGUUAAGGUGCCAGAAUGCACGCUCAUCAGACACCACAAAAGGUGUUAGUUCAUCUAGACAGCAGGACGGUGGCCAUGGAAGUCGGAAUCCGCUAAGGAGUGUGUAACAACUCAC